GAGGUUCGCACUUGGAACUUGGGUGAUUGCACUACAUAUAAGUAUUCAUGGGGUGCUCUUGAUUUGGAGGUCGGAAAGAGAAGGAAACAAAGCAUCCGAAGUCGGGAUCUGCCGCCAAUACCGCCGCUGCAACGACGGCAGCCACCAUGUCUGCUAACGCUGGUGGUGGAGUCGCCACAGGCAAGGGCCUCGCCUGGUCUGGGUUAAAAAAAAAUAAAAAAAUCAAUUAUCGCGUUUCUCGACCUGGGUUUACCUGAUUUUCCUGCGCGGUCUUCCAAACUUGGACGGCAUUUUUGACGUUGACCAAUUCCCUGGUCAUUAUGCAGUUCAGGACCGUGUUUAUUAUUCCUGUGUUAUACUAGUCAAAGUAUUGUUGCGUGUCCUAGAUAAUAGCCUUUCCUUGUAAGAUAAGUUUACCUAUACAUGUCCGUGACUAGCGAGGAAACGCCAUGAGUUUAUCUAUCCAAACACCGGCCCAGAAGAUUUCUCUCAAACGCAUGAGCUAUCGGGAGUAUUUGAGCUAACAUAGGAAAAAUGAAACCGUGGGCAGUCAUAAUAAUAGUUUGGGCUGUCUUAGUCGCCAUAUCUGUUUUCGUACGCCUUCUCUGGCGAGGUGGACAGGGAGACGGCGGCAGAUUUGGUGGUGGAGGCGGCGGUGGAGUUGGAGGAGGAGAUGGAGGUUCUGCUUGUGGCGGAGGCGGAGACGACGGCGGAGGUGGAGGUGGGGGCUGCUUGCGGUGGCGGAGGUGGAGGUGGGGGCGGUGGCGGAGGCGGAGGAGCUGGUGCCUGUUGAUAUUGUUUUGGGAAAUGAUAUGUAUUAAAUUUAAGCUCGCGAUUUAAAUAUAGAGAAAACAGUUUGUAUCUUAACACGUAUUGCAAAUUUGUAUGUUUACACUU